AGGACGAACGCUGGCGGCGUGCUUAACACAUGCAAGUCGAGCGGUAAGGCCUCCUUCGGGGGGUACACGAGCGGCGAACGGGUGAGUAACACGUGGGUGACCUGCCCUCAGCUCUGGGAUAAGCCUGGGAACCCGGGUCUAAUACCGGAUGGGACUGCUUGCCGCAUGGUGGGUGGUGGAAAGUUUUUUCGGCUGGGGAUGGGCCCGCGGCCUAUCAGCUUGUUGGUGGGGUGAUGGCCUACCAAGGCGGUGACGGGUA
rnacentral:rRNA from 1 species